AUUUACUUAAAAAUCACAAUCCAUAAUAUUGAAAACAGAUUUCAUCUGUUGAUUUGUACAGCUCGUAUGGUCUACAAGAAAUACGCAGUGUAUCAUCAGCCACUGUUUGCCAGCAGUACUGUGAAUCCAACACCCAGUGUGAAGGUUGGGUUUGGACAUGGCCAACUAAUACUGGAUAUGCAAAUAAUGUUUGUAUGUUGAGAAAAAACUCAAAUAUGUACUUUGGUACUUUAGGGCCUAAGAGUACAUCUGGGAUCAAAUCCAGCAUCAUUGUCUGGAACUAGAUUAUCAGUCUAACACUAGAUUAUCAGCUGCUGAAUUAGUAUCAUUGUCUGGAACUAAAUUAUCAGUUGCUGAAUCCAGCAUCAUUGUCUGGAACUAGAUUAUCAGCUGCUAAAUUCAGCAUUACUGUCUGGAACUAGAUUAUCAGCUGCUGAAUCAAGCAUCAAUGCCUGGAACUAGAUUAUCAGCUGCUGAAUCCAGCAUCAUUGUCUAGAAAUUGAUAAUCAGCUGCUGAAUCCAUCAUCGAUGUCUGGAACUAGAUUAUCAGCUGCUAAAUCCAGCAUCAUUUUUCUAAAACUAGAUUAUUAGCUGCUAAAUCCAGCACCAUUGCUUGGAACUAGAUUAUCAGCUGCUAAAUUCAGCAUUAUUUUCUGGAACUAGACUAUCAGCUGCUGAAUCCAGUAUCAUUGUCUGGAACUAGAUUAUCAGCUGCUGUUUCCAGCAUCAUUGUCUGGAACUAGAUUAUCAGCUGCUGCUGAACCCAGCAUCAUUGUCUGGAACUAGAUUAUCAGCUGCUUCAGAAACCAGCAUCAAUGUCUAGAACUAGAUUAUCAGCUGCUUCAGAAACCAGCAUCAAUGUCUAGAACUAGACUAUCAGCUAGAGAUAUUUUAUAUUAUUAUAUAAAACAAA